GGACUGGAAGUCAGUCUGGGCGCCAAGGUGUGCGCAGGCGCAGUGCGGCGGGCAGUUUCUCGCGGCGGAGGCGGGGUGAACACGGCUGGGAGCCGUCCGCUUUCCCGACUCCUUUUCACAAGACUGGGCGUUAGUGCCGGGGUCGGAGCCAGCCGGACACAGGGGACACUCGGUUCCCGGGCUAAGGUGGAGCUCGCGGGCCAGCCCAGGGCCCCUCGGCUUCCCUCACCGCCCUGGGCCCUGCUGUGCAUUUAAAACACCUGGUCGGACUCGCCCAGCAUUUAAAGUUCCUCGCCUCCCGGACGCUUCCCUUUCCUGUUGCAAAAGUGUGACGUAGAAGCGGGAAGGAGACUAGAGCCCGGAAAAGCCAUGGGAAACAAGGAAGGCCCUUCCCUCGAAUGGCCAGUCCCAGGGUUAGCUCCCAACAUGACCCUUUCGCGGCCAGUUGAGUCAGUACACUUCAUCCGUGCCCUCAUGUGUAGGCACAGGGAGCAACCAAAGCCGGGAAUCCAGGACCAGCGCUUCCGUCUGCAAGACGUCAAAUUUGAGUGAGGACCAAGUCGGCCUCAGCAGGUGUAAUGAUGUGUGGUGUCCAGUACCUGUGACAAGUGACCGGGGACACACCUGAGGACCAGGCGCUGGAUAGAUGCUGCUGUGGUGGCCUUCGUCUGCCCAGUCCACCAGCUCACUGCUCUGGAACCACAGCUGGAUCUCCCUCUGGGCCCCCUCCACGGAGUCGCUGGCGUGGAUGACGUUCCUGUGCCAGGUGGCAGAGGUAGGACACAGGCUUCAGUGUGCACCUUGGGGGUCCCAGGGACAGUCUGCUGCGUACACCUUGGAGGUCCCAGGGACAGUCUCCUGAUGCCCUACUGUCUAGGGGAGCAAGCGGGGUGAUUGUACAGAGGGGAAAGGAAGAACAGGGGAGCUGCAAAACUGGGUUCCAGCCUGAUCUCAGCUUCUUAGCCACAACCUCAUCUGUCCCGUGCCAACCCCCGGGGCAUCUGGCGAUAAAGUCAGGUGACAGACAACGAUGGCAGAGCACAUACACAACACACAGGGAAUGCUUUAUCUUCUCCUGUGUGCAUGAAAGGGUUUUUUAAAAAACCGCACUAGCAAACGUUAGGUGUGAUGUGCCACCAGUAAAAGUCUCUUCUGGCUUUACUUUCCCCUGAGCAAGAAGCCCAGGUCCGGCGGAUCUGCCUUAGCAGCAAGCCGCCGCCCCAAGCCCCUAGUGAGCUGGCCCUCAGCUCCAAGUGGCCGAGUGUGUUAGGGCCCCCAUACCUGCUGAUGUGGAUGCUUAAGUCUCCCCGGAUGGUGCCAGGGGCGGCCUCAGCCGAGUUGGUGUGUCCUAUCAUGGCCCUCGAGGUGCAGACCACAUUGGGGCCUUCCCAGACCUGCAGCACAGAGAUAAAGGAGGUGGGGAGAGGUGGGUAUCACCAAGGGCUCAGUCCAGGACCCUCCACCCCUCCCACCACCCCUGCCCCGCUGUACCAUGGCCACCACCGGGCCGGAGCUCAUGUAGCUGAUGAGGGCUGGGUAGAAGGGCUUCCUCUGCAGGUCGUGGUAGUGCUCAGCAAGGAUGCUCUCUGGUGCCUGGUGCAUUGGGGGAAGGGGGUGAGAGGAGCCCUUGGAGAGGGAGCCCCACCAGGCACUGGGACAGUGACAUGGUGUACUGAUCACAGGGCCCUUUGCAGACGACACCUACGUGGGGCAGCACUCCAGCCACAAAAGCACAAGGCAGACACCUCCCCACCCCUCCCCUUCUACUGCCAACACCAUGAUGUCUUCCUGACACAGGGCUGAGAUGUGAGAAGCCCCCCAUCCCAGUCCCCUCAGGGACACCCACAGGCAAAGAGCCCUGGUACCUGCAGCAUCUUCAUCCCCACCAGCUUGAAGCCCCUCCUCUCAAAGCGCUGGAUCACAUCCCCAACAAGCCUCCGCUGCACCCCGUCUGGCUUCACCGCAACCAGCGUCCGCUCCAGGGUCCAGGAGGGUCCUCCUUUAGAAGAGGGGGGUUCGGGGCUGCCGAGGCCUCACCCUUUCAUGUCUCCCGGACCUGGGUUCCCCUGCCAGGACCCAGGUGUCACCUGGACUUCCGAGUGUCUGCCUCAGGCAGAGCAGCUCUGGAGGGGAGAAGUGUGGUGUCCACAGCCAGGACUGUCCAGCGUGGUGCUACCCCUUGGGACAAGCAGCACAGGGGGCCCCUGGGGACUUCAGCCUGUCGGAGGGGCCAUGGGCCCUUCCAGGCAGUGGCAGAAGCUGCCCAUGAUAGAGCUGAUGUCCCCUGAAAAGGCAUCUAUCUUAGACAGCCCGGAGGCCUGGGGAGGCACAGUCCAGCUCAGAGGCCACCCGGAGGCCCAAAGAUGCCAUACUGGAAAGAAAGUACAAGCCUUGGCCUGAUUUUCGCUCUUGUCCUUUGCGGUGCUAGCACAGACAAUGUCUGAACCCCCAACCUGCCACAUCAGGAAGGAACCACCACCCAUAUUCUGGGUCUCAGGUGAAGGAAUGGCAGGGGACCAGGGAGGCAGAAGUGCACUUUCCCCACCGGGUGGGCCACAGACAGCGGGACAAAGGGACCUGGGGAUUGAGGAGAAAGGUGGAGGGGUUCCUGUCUGCAGGUGGGGAGAGUUGAGAGGGCUCCUCCCCUCACGCCUUCGUUGGCCAGGCUGCUGUGGGGUUCCAGGGUGGGACGCUUCGAGACCUAAAGUCAACACUGCCACAGUCUUCCCCCUCCUGGGGAGACACUGCCCGGGAGACCCCCAGCAUCAUCACCCUCCUACAGCCCCAGGCCACUUCCAGAGUUAUGCUGACCCUCAGCAUUGGGUCCAGGGUCAAGUGUACUUUUGAGAGGAGCCCAGACCCUGGAUGUCCAGCUAAUUCCUGCAAAGAGGGAGGAGAGAACUGGAGGAGAGAUAAGACGUAGGGUCCAGGAGGGCCAGUGUCCCUGUAGGCAACUGCAGCUGCCUUCCCAUCCCCAGGAGGAAAAUUAACCAAAGUUGUGCAGGGCCUGGAGAGCAGGCAGUGGGUGCCCACCACAUCCCUUCAAUGAACCGCGCUGGAGGAAGGCCCCCCAUCCUUAUUCCAUCCCCCAAGCCCAGUGCCUGGGGGCCCUGCUGCCAGCUGGCUUGUGCCUCAGACGGUGGCAGUUCACUCUUGCCAGCAUUUGGAACGCCAGGACAUCUGCCUGCAGCUCAGGAAGGGCCCAAGGGCCAGCAGCUAGGGCAGAGGUCCCUGUGGAUACCAGCGGGCAGGAAUACGCCAGGCGGAAAAACGCCCCAGGACGGGAGUAUUCAUCUGCUGAGAAUGACCCCGCUCAGGAGCCCCGGGUCCGCCGCAAAGUGUGGCCACCAGGCUUCUGGCUUCCUCCUGCCCUGGAGCCCUGGGGACCCCCUGCCCUGAGCACGGUGAGGAGGUCUUAGUUGCGGCACGCAGGAUCUUCAAUGCGGCGUGCGGGCCCUCUAGUUGAGGCGUGCGGGCUUAGUUGCCCUGCAGCAUGUGGGAUCUUAGUUCGUCGAUCAGGGAUUGAACCCGCAUCCCCUGCAUUGGAAGGCGGAUUCUUAACCACUGGACCACCUGGGAAGUCCCUGGAGCUUCUUUUUAGGAGAUGAAAAUGUUCUAAAAUUGACUGUGGUGAUGGUUACACAUAUGUGUCAGGCCCUACACUGCUCUGGGACUCUGAGGCUGCUGUAGCCCAGCCCCAGACUGAUCCCUGUUCCCAGAGACAGUGCAGCACAUGGCUCACGCCCCUGCUCUGUGCAAGAUGGCCACUUCCUGUUGGGAGGUGAGCCUGCUUCCCCACCCCCUUUGCAUCUGGGCUGGCCCUGUGGCUGGUUGUGUCUGCACAAACGCUGGGUAACAUCCUCAUCUGGGCCUUAGAGAUCUGCACUUCUGCCUUUGCCAUUUGGGAUGCACGGGCUUGGACUUUCCUUUCCAUGUAAAGAAGCCUAAGGCAGCCACAAAGAAAGAGAAAGAAAGAGCCACCAGCCCCCAGCUUAUCCCUACCAAAGCACCAGAAGUGUGGGUAGUCAUCUCGAGAGUUCCAGCCCCAGCUUAUGCCUCAAGGAGCAGAAGUGCCACCAGCUGAACCCUGCCCAACUCCGACUCAGCAAAGAAUCAGCAGAAAAUAUCCUGGCUGUUGGUUGAAGCCGUUGAGAUUUCGGGUAGUUUGUUGAGAUGCCUCCCACUCAACCCAGCCUGGCUCAACUGAGCUCAUCUGAGAUGUGGAAUCCCUUGGCUUCUCAGUGGCCAAGCCAGGGCUCAAGUAGAAGAGUGGCCCUAGGUCCACUGCUCCUCCGACCACAGUUCCCUGCAUCAUCUUCUGGCCAGGAUCUGUGCAGCUUCUGUGUGAAGACUUCAGGCUCACAGGUGGCUGGCUGAGUCCACAUCAGGGUCCACCUCCAGGAAACCCAGCCUCAGGCAGGAAGAUACCAGAAGGAAGCACUUUAUGACCACAUUUGAUACAGCAGAGCACAAACACGAGGCUGUUCACUUCUCCUCUGAUGCUGACUCUCCUCCCGCGUCCGGCACUAAACGUGGAAGCACUUUA